AUUUUCAUUUAAAUUUGAAUUAACUUAUUUACACGAGGAAGGCAAAUAGUCCCAACUCUAGUUAUUUUGCCUUUUAUCGCGAUAGAAAAGAGGUUUGCUUUAAUGAGUGCAAAAACUGGAGCCUAGUAGUGUUCGUCAAAAGUAAGAGAAGCUAGUGCCUCUACAAUCAAUGGCUCGCAAGUUGUUCUACAAUCAACAGCUCGUAAGUUGCCACUCAACCAACGGCUCGCUCGUUUGCCGGUGUAAAAGCCUAGCUGGUAAGGCUUUUUUCGUGUAUGGACUUGGUGCAGUGUUAAAUGCAGCUGAGGGCCCUCUUGAA
rnacentral:lncRNA from 1 species